CUUUUCUCCAAGCCAGAGACAUGGAGAGAACCUAGACUUUCCCAUUCUAACUUGCCAUGGAGUUUGGGAGAAUCCAGCCCAUUUACGGCACGGCUUCCAUCAGAGGAGAAAUGAAGGUGCGGCAAACGGAGGGAUCUCAUUCACGUUGUCACAUCUGGGAUCCCCAGCAUUCCAAC